AUGAACGCUAGCGGCAGGCCUAACACAUGCAUGUCGAGGGGUAAUUUCGAUCUUCGGAUCGGAAACGACCGGCAAAUGGGUGAGUAAUACAUAUGCAACCUGCCCGUAGCUGGAGAAUAGCUUCCGGAAACGGAAAUUAAUACUCCAUAAUAUUCUAGUAUCGCAUGUUAUUAGAAUUAAAGCUUCGGUGGCUACGGAUGGGCAUAUGUCCCAUUAGCUUGUUGGUGAGGUAACUGCUCACCAAGGCUACGAUGGGUAGGGGGUCUGAGAGGAUGAUCCCCCACACUGGUACUGAGACACGGACCAGACUCCUACGGGAGGCAGCAGUGAGGAAUAUUGGUCAAUGGGCGAAAGCCUGAACCAGCCAUGCCGCGUGCAGGAUGACAGUCCUACGGAUUGUAAACUGCUUUUCUGCAAGAAGAAAUGUUCCGACGUGUCGGGAUUUGACGGUAUUGCAGGAAUAAGCAUCGGCUAACUCCGUGCCAGCAGCCGCGGUAAUACGGAGGAUGCAAGCGUUAUCCGGAUUCAUUGGGUUUAAAGGGUGCGUAGGCGGAUUAGAUAGUCGAAGGUGAAAGCCUGCAGCUUAACUGUAGAAGUGCCUUUGAUACUGCUAAUCUUGAGUACAGUUGAGGCGAGUGGAAUGUGUAGUGUAGCGGUGAAAUGCAUAGAUACUACACAGAACACCAAUUGCGAAGGCAGCUCGCUAAGCUGUUACUGACGCUCAGGCACGAAAGCGUGGGGAGCGAACAGGA
rnacentral:rRNA from 1 species